GGGCCUAUAGCUCAGUUGGUUAGAGCAGAGGACUCAUAAUCCUUUGGUCGCAAGUUCGAGUCUUGCUGGGCCCACCA
rnacentral:tRNA from 2 species